ACCACCAUGGCAAGGAGAUGCCCAGCCUGGGACAGCUUAAACUGGUGGCCGGCGAGGAGCCAGGCGGGGCCUUUGGGUGGCACACACCUUGGCACGGCUCAGGGUGAAGGCCAGGCUCGGCGUGGUGCCACCGGCAGCAGGACAGGGGUGUCACCACGAAGCCACCAGCCUGGCGCCGCGGGUCCCCUGCCACCAACCGGGCGGAUAACAUAGACCUCUCCAUUCGGAAGAGCCCUUUUGUCUCCUUGACCUCUUCAUUUCGGCCACAGCUCCCGUCCUGCCCAUGCUGCACCCAGGGGCUUGCACUUGGCUGGUGCCCAAUGUCCCCAGCGGGUCCCAGCGGCCGUGGCGGGGACACGGGGACACAGUGUGCGGGUGGGAUGGGGCCGGACCACGGGGCUUCGAGGGUCCUGCAGAGGAUGUGGGGGGUCCUGCGGAGGCCAGAAGCGCCCCCCAGGACGGGACACGUCUCCUGGGAAGGGGCCGGCACCGGCCGUCCCCCCGUGGCGCACGGGACGCGGGGCGCACGGAGAGCGCGGAGCCUCCCCCGGCGGGGCUCGGGGGACCCCCGGCAUGGGGGGCAGCUCGGAACCGGGGGGGUCUCGCCCACCCCCGGCCGCCCCCGCCGUGGUUCGCCCCGCUCCCCCUGCCGUCGGCGGCGUGGUACGGCUCGGGGGCGGCGCGCUCGGCCCGGAGCCGCUCGGGGGGGGCCGUGCCGGGCCGUGCCGGGCCGGGCUCCGGCGGGGCCAUGAGCGCGGCGGGCGGCCGGGACGCCUGCUGGAGAUAUCUGGACAUGGCCAGGGAGGCCAAGCCGAGCCGGGCCAGGCUGGGCCAGAAGAGGCAGCACAGCAGCAGCCUGUACCAGUGAGUGCCAGGACGUGGUGGGGAGGGCAUGGAAAUGGGGGGAGCUCCUCUUCCUCCCACUGCUCUUCAUCCCUUCAGUCCUUCUUCUGCAUGCCCUUGGUGGUGGAUGCUCACCCGGCUCCAUAGGAUGUCCCGACCCUGUCUCCAUGGGCACCUCCCUAACCCCAACCCCAACCCUAACCCUAACCCUCCUCACCGAGGGUCUGAGGCUUCUUCUACCCAGCAGAAGAUCCCUGUGGUCUCCACAUGGUUGCAGUUUGGGCUUUUAAAUGAGGUCCCUUGGGGGACAGGUGCCCAAGCAGAGAUCUGGGGGCAUGGUGUCCUACCCACACGGGGAUGGGGGCCACCAGCAGAAGGGUCGGUCCCUGUCCCUGUCUGUGUUCAGCUCCUGGGCUCCGCAGGGACCCUCGUCCCCGCUGGGUGCCACACGGGCACGUGGCACAGAGGGGACCAGAGCCAGCACCGGGCUCUGCCUCUCGUUAGAGAGCUUCUGGAUUGAAUUAAUUGCUCUGCCCGUUGCCAUGGCACCGGGGCCAUGCAGGGAGGCAGCGCUGGCAGGGCAGGGACCGCGGUCCCCGUGGCUGCUGGAGCACGGAGCCGCUGCAUCGCUCUUCCCGCGGGAUGCUCUGAGGGGCCGUGCUCAUCCACAGCAAAUCCCAUCUCAGGGUCACACCGCAGAGCGAGGCCAGCACGUGGUGAGCCGGUGACCGCGCGCGUCCGGCUUCGUGCGUAGAAAUGGCAGGAGGCACACCGCAAGUCCCGGGGUGCUCCUUCCUCCCCGGUGGGACACGCUGCCCUGGUGGCAGCAAGGGACAGAGCGCAGGUGCCCGAGGCUGCUGUGGCAGCGGCGAUGCUCUGAGCUUUGUCUCACCUCGUGCGAGGCUGAAUCCAGCGCUCAUCGACUCCGCGAGAGCUGAAGCGGCAAAAUGAGCAUCAGCGCCUUGCCUCCUCCGUGGCGUGUGAUUUAUUGCCGGCGUGCCGGCUCCCCGCGCGGGAGGCAGUUU
rnacentral:lncRNA from 1 species